GAUGAACGCUGGCGGCGUGCCUAAUACAUGCAAGUCGAGCGAACGGACGAGAAGCCUGCUUUUCUGAUGUUAGCGGCGGACGGGUGAGUAACACGUGGAUAACCUACCUAUAAGACUGGGAUAACUUCGGGAAACCGGAGCUAAUACCGGAUAAUAUUUUGAACCGCAUGGUUCAAAAGUGAAAGACGGUCUUGCUGUCACUUAUAGAUGGAUCCGCGCUGCAUUAGCUAGUUGGUAAGGUAACGGCUUACCAAGGCAACGAUGCAUAGCCGACCUGAGAGGGUGAUCGGCCACACUGGAACUGAGACACGGUCCAGACUCCUACGGGAGGCAGCAGUAGGGAAUCUUCCGCAAUGGGCGAAGGCCUGACGGAGCAACGCCGCGUGAGUGAUGAAGGUCUUCGGAUCGUAAAACUCUGUUAUUAGGGAAGAACAUAUGUGUAAGUAACUGUGCACAUCUUGACGGUACCUAAUCAGAAAGCCACGGCUAACUACGUG
rnacentral:rRNA from 1 species